CAGCCGCCACGGUAAUACGUAGGUGGCAAGCGUUGUCCGGAAUUAUUGGGUGUAAAGGGCUCGCAGGCGGUUUCUUAAGUCUGAUGUGAAAGCCCCUGGCUCAACCGGGGAGGGUCAUUGGAAACUGGGAAACUUGAGUGCAGAAGAGGAGAGUGGGAUUCCACGUGUAGCGGUGAAAUGCGUAGAGAUGUGGAGGAACACCAGUGGCGAAGGCGACUCUCUGGUCUGUAACUGACGCUGAGGAGCGAAAGCGUGGGGAGCGAACAGGAUUAGAUACCCCGGUAGUCCCUGUCUCUUAUAA
rnacentral:rRNA from 1 species